rnacentral:rRNA from 1 species
GAUGAACGCUGGCGGCGUGCUUAACACAUGCAAGUCGAACGGUGAAAGAGAGCUUGCUCUCUGGAUCAGUGGCGAACGGGUGAGUAACACGUGAGCAAUCUGCCCUUGACUCUGGGAUAAGCGCUGGAAACGGCGUCUAAUACCGGAUACGAGCUGCGAAGGCAUCUUCAGCAGCUGGAAAGAACUUCGGUCAAGGAUGAGCUCGCGGCCUAUCAGCUAGUUGGUGAGGUAACGGCUCACCAAGGCGUCGACGGGUAGCCGGCCUGAGAGGGUGACCGGCCACACUGGGACUGAGACACGGCCCAGACUCCUACGGGAGGCAGCAGUGGGGAAUAUUGCACAAUGGGCGCAAGCCUGAUGCAGCAACGCCGCGUGAGGGACGACGGCCUUCGGGUUGUAAACCUCUUUUAGCAGGGAAGAAGCGAAAGUGACGGUACCUGCAGAAAAAGCACCGGCUAACUACGUGCCAGCCGCCGCGGUAAUAC